CCUGCGUGGGUCGGGAACUCUGGGAUCAGGGGAACAAUCGUGAGGUUUUAAAGGCUGCCCUAUUCAGCCUCAACCACCAAGUCUUUCUGGUUCCUCAUGUUCCUCGUCCCUGAAGCCCCAGAUAGAACUCCUCUCCCCGGGGUCGCUGCAGGCAGCAGCGCAGCGUGAGCCACAGGCACGCCGCUGGGCUGCGCGAAGGCUGCAUUGGUAUCCGCGGACGUGCGUGCUCCAGGCUGUCUGUGCAGUGUGUGCGCAUCGGUGUGUCUGGAGGGGCCUCUGUGUGGGAGGAAGGGAGUGUGUACCCUGUGUGUAAGUUGGUGCUGACUCCGCCAGAACUUCUGGUCCCUCCUCCUCCCUCCCUGAUUGCAUCAUUAGUGCUAAUUGAGGGGCUUUCACACGCCAGUGCAUUAGCUGUUUGGAGUGAGCUCCCCCCUCCUGGGAGAGAUAAGCUCUGCCCCUCCCCAUCCCGGCCCUCCACUUCCCCGCAGCCCUGGAACUGUCCACCCAGAACCUCUCCCCUUCCUGGGCACCUUCCUGCCUCCCUCUGGUUCUGGACUAAGUAAUCCCUCUCCUCCCUGCAGUGUCAGAGAUUGGCUGGAGAGGAGUCAGGGAGGUGUCAGAAGGACCCCUCUCUGAGGGGUGUCAGGGAGGGGAGGUUAUCCUUGGUGGAGUGGGGGCCUGGAGAGCUCUGGCAUUCCUACAGAAUACAGAGUCACUGUGAUGAGAGAGGGGACAGGAAUCUCUGCCUGGUUCUUUUGGACAUGGAAGGACAGAGGAGAGGACUGAAUCUUUGAUAUCCAGCCUCCUAUCCCACUGAGUUCCAGGGGCUCGGCUCCUCUCUCCUGGUGAGGACUGGGGAUUCUGGGAGGAACAGAGUUGCCACCCAAGGGAGAAGAAUCAUCAUUUCAAAGAAUUGAAAAAGACACAAAAUACUGCUUCAAGCUUGAAGAUCUAUAGCCUGCCCACCCGAAGCCGCUGUGGCAGGGUCCCUGGAGACCCCGCAGGGCCAGUCCCUUCUCAGGCCAGUGUCCAGCUCUGAGCACUGAGUGCCACCUUCACAAGAGAGUCUUCCUCCAACUGUCACUCAAGGCCACAGCAGUCCUCAGAUCAGAAUAUCUGCUAGUGUGAAGGCUCAGUGCUGCAGACACACCACAUCUUCCUGCUCCUCCCUGUGCCUGCCACAUCCCUACCCAACCCGAAGGCUAACUGGGUUAGCAAUCCUUGGGAAGGAAGCAGAUGGUUUGGACCCCAAGAUGCUAGAUUUCUCUGGAAAUGUCUUUUAGGUCUCUCAGAAAGUAGCAGGUUACACACAACCCUCCUCCAAUGGAAGGUUGAACUCUAGAAGCUACUCACUCUCUGACAGAAGAGGGAAAAGCAACAGCUACUCUGUGGCCUUGUGUGGCCUUGUUUGGCUGCUGGGAAUCGUGCAUCCGGGCUGUGGGAAACUGUGAGUGCAGGUGUGAAGGCGGCUGCUUUGCCUGUCAGGAAGGCAGCCAGGUUCCUGGUCCAGAACUCCGGUUCCCUUCAAGUGACUGCUCAGUGGACUCAGACAGAAGUUAAACAUAUGGGCUCUGGUGUUGCACUGCCUGAGUCUGAAUACGCAUUCCGUCACUCACCAGCUGGGAAAGCUUGGGCAAGACACUGGACACCUUAUGUGUGAAGUAAGGAUAAUAACUCUAUUGAUGGCACAGGGCAUAAUGUUGUGAGGAUUAAACAAGGUAAUGCAGGAAUGCAUGUAAAGGACUUAGUGUAGCGCCUGGUACAGAGCACACAUCUGACAGGUGACAGCUCUUCUUAUUAUCGUAUCUUAUGAUCGCUCAUCUGCACCUGAAGGCAAUUCCAGAGAGACUGCUGAGGGAUGGUAGAAAAUGGGGGCAUUACUUUCCACAGGACUGGUUGGCAGGUGUCCUGGUUUGCCUGUCUACCACUAUGUAAUGCCUAUUCUGGCAUUUAACAUCAAGUUAGGUGUUCGGAUUUCCUACCAUCUCCCUCCCUCUUUCUUUUCUGCACUUAAUACUUAUGGAGAGCCUACUGUAGGGUGCCUGGGCGGCUCAGUUGGUUGAGCAUCUGGCUCUUGAUUUAGGCUCAGGUCAUAAUCUCACAGUUGUGGGAUCGAGCUCUCCCUCACCCCCAUCUCCACACUGAGCUUAGAGACUACUUAAGAUUCUCUCUCCCUCUUUCCCCCUUCUCCCCCUACCCAACUUGUGUGCAUGGUUUCUCUCUCUCUCUCUCUCUCUCUCAAAAAAAAAAAAAAAUCUAUUCUGGCCUGAUUCUGUGCUAGGCACUAAACAUACCAUAAUAGAUAAAGAGCAACAGGCUGAUGUCUGAUCUUUAUCAGACAUAAAGACAAGCAUGUAAACUGGACAAAGCAAUUCUGUACUUCAGGUACUGUGAUGGAAGGAUGUCCAGAUAUAGUGGAAUGUAAGAGAGCUGAGUUAGGAAAGCUUCAAAGCUGAGGGGUCUGAAGCCGGUUUUCAGGCAGAGGGGAUAUUUGAGCAAUGGCAUUGAGCUGAGAAAUACACCACAUUUUAUUAGGAAUAUCUUCCCAGUUUGGAGUUGAGGACUAGGAGCCUGAA